AAUAAGGCAAUGAAGUGAUAAGUAGCUCAUGGCGUUUUCUAAGAGAGCCUACGUGUGGUGGAAGUAGGUAAAGCUAAGUGAGUGAAUAUGGUCACUGAGCAUGAAUAAUUCAAGCAAGUGUGAGAGUUAUUCGGGACCACCCGUUACAGUGGCAGAGUUUGAUAGAACUCGAUGAGUGUUGGCUUUAGUCAACGAAAAAAGGUGGUACCGUGAACUAGCUUCGCCCUUUCA
rnacentral:ncRNA from 1 species